AUCACCACCACCACCACCACAGGCCUGCAGCUCGCCGGUACCAUCUGCCUCCGUGUCAUCACAGCAAGCCAGACGAGGAAAAAGACAGCGUGAAAAUGAGGAGCUGUUGGAGUACAUGGAGAAGGCUGACGAUAAGUUCUUAUAGCUCAACAUGGACAUGACAGCAAAGAUGGAGGCAGACACAAGUGCUCUGCUUGGGCUCAUGGGGCGCAUGGUGGCAGUGAUGGAGGCGCAAGCAAAAA